rnacentral:lncRNA from 1 species
UACUGUUCCUUUACCCUCUCUUCGAUUUUGAGAAAGUAGUCAUGUUGGGAGUCUGGCUCUCGAGAUUCGGAUGACGGUGCCUCUUCGAUUUUGGAGCAAGCAAUCUUGUUGGGAGUGUUUUCUCGAAUGUGAGUAAAGGUUGGGCAUGUUUGCUAGUCUACCUUGCCACGAAGCACAGAGGUUGACACACAGGGACUUUUCAAUUAUCCAGCAGUGGUACUGUUCCUUUACCCUUGUGGGUAAUAAUAUGGUAGCUAUACCUUCAAAAUUUAUGUGUCUAAACUUUGUUAGUGCUGUUUCUUUGCUAUUCUUUUACCUUUCUUGGUCAGAGCGAUGUAGUGGGAGCUGCAAGCUUCACGUGCUCAACUUUGGCAGAGAACUUUGGCAAAGUUAUCUGUGGUACCCAUGAGCUAUUGUUGCGUGUGGGAAGUGGGUGAUUGAACAGUAAGAUUCAUGUGCUUUCUACUUCACCAGAAGUCUUCGACAGAAUGCCCAUAAUUUCUGCAAAGCUGAGUGUGCGUGUGACAGGUGCUGACAAGGCUAGAAAAGUAGGUGCCUCUUCGAUUUCUGAGAUCGGCCCUCGUGGUCUCUGAGCAGCCCAGCUUUUGAGAAAGCGAGCGCCUCUUCGAUUGAUUCGGAGAACGAUGCCUCAUCGAUUUUUGAGAAAGCAAUCAUGCUGGGGGUCUGGCUCUCGAAGAUUCGGGGAGCAGUGUCUCUUCGAUUUUUGAGAAAGUAAUCAUAUUGGGAGUUUGGCUCUCGAGAUUCGGAGGGCGGUGCCUCUUCGAUUUUGGAGCAAGCAAUCUUGUUGGGAGUGUUUUCUCGAGUGUGAGUAAAGGUUGGGCAUGUUUGCUAGUCUACCUUGCCACGAAGCACAGAGGUUGACACACAGGGACUUUCCAAUUAUCCAGCAAUGGUACUGUUCCUUUACCCUCUCUUCGAUUUUUAAGAAAGUAGUCAUGUUGGGAGUCUGGCUCUCGAGAUUCGAAGGACGGUGCCUCUUCGAUUUUGGAGCAAGCAAUCUUAUUGGGAGUGUUUUCUCGAAUGUGAGUAAAGGUUGGGCAUGUUUGCUAGUCUACCUUGCCACGAAGCACAGAGGUUAACACACAGGGACUUUCCAAUUAUCCAGCAGUGGUACUGUUCCUUUACCCUUGUGGGUAAUAAUAUGGUAGCUAGACCUUCAAAAUUUAUGGGUCUAAACUUUGUUAAUGCUAUUUCUUUGCUAUUCU